CAACAACAACACCCAACUCAGAAAAACAACUAUAAGAAAGAAAAGGGGACUAGCAUCCCCCAUGGCAAUCGUCAAUAAGAGCACAAGGAUCAUGUGCUUGACAAUUAUAUUGAUCAUGUCUACCGUUCUCUCCUCAUCUGCAGUUUACGAUGACCCUGGCCAAGGUUCAUUUUUCAUCCAUAAUAUUCUCUCUAAUCAUCAAUAAUCUGGUUUUACAUGCAUUUUGUGAAUUUUAGAUCUAUGAAUAUUAGUAUGGCACCCUGUCUUUCUAGUCCGGUUAAGUUAUGCAUGCAUGUUUACACUGCAAUCAUUACCGAUUAACAUAAACUAAUGCAUCUAAUUUCGUUAUAGGAUGCGAACCACGUGGCUCACACUGCUCUAAUAUUGAAUGUUGGGAUACCUGCGGUGGGGGCUGCUUCUUGGGAAAAGAUAAAAAAUAUUAUUGUUGUUGUGAACCAAUACACCAAAGCUACCCAGCACACCUCGAGCCCUUAGAACAUCGAUGAAAUGCUAUGAAUAUGGUGCAAGAUGGGAUCAUCUGAACCAUAAGCAUGAAAUGUGUUAGCUCUUGUUUUUGAUCUAGUUAUUAUGAUCUGCUUAAAAAUAAAAAUAAAUAAAUUUGGUUAUGAGUAUAUUGUUGUGUUUUUAUUUUCUUUUUACUAUUGGUUGUAACAAUAAAUACAACUUUCGCCUCUAAGACCAACUCUAGCAAAGUUAGAGAGCGCCUCAAUCAGGUUAUUUGCAAUUUAAGGUGGGCAAUUAAAUUUCCUCGGGCGACGGUUAUUCAUGACGAACAUGUUCAUUUUUACCAUCGUCUGUCGGUUCUAGACAUGGAUUAUAUGGAUGAAAACUUAUUUAGGC
rnacentral:lncRNA from 1 species